rnacentral:rRNA from 1 species
UGGGGAAUAUUGGGCAAUGGGGGAAACCCUGACCCAGCAACGCCGCGUGAGGGAAGAAGGCUUUCGGGUCGUAAACCUCUGUCCCAUGGGAAGAGUAGAAGACGGUACCAUGGGAGGAAGCCCCGGCUAACUACGUGCCAGCAGCCGCGGUAAUACGUAGGGGGCGAGCGUUGUCCGGAAUGACUGGGCGUAAAGGGCGCGUAGGUGACCUUUCAAGUCUGGAGUGAAAGUCCCGCUUUCAAGGUGGGAAUGGCUUUGGAAACUGAGAGGCUUGAGUGUGGGAGAGGAUAGCGGAAUUCCCGGUGUAGCGGUGAAAUGCGUAGAGAUCGGGAGGAACACCAGUGGCGAAGGCGGCUAUCUGGACCAAGACUGACACUGAAGCACGAAAGCGUGGGUAGCAAACA